rnacentral:rRNA from 1 species
UACGGGGGGGGCAAGCGUUGUUCGGAAUUACUGGGCGUAAAGGGCUCGUAGGUGGCCAACUAAGUCAGACGUGAAAUCCCCAGGCUCAACCUGGGAACUGCGUCUGAUACUGGAUGGCUUGAAUCCGGGAGAGGGAUGCAGAAUUCCAGGUGUAGCGGUGAAAUGCGUAGAUAUCUGGAGGAACACCUGUGGCGAAGGCGGGUCUCUGGGCCGAUACUGACGCUGAGGAGCGAAAGCGUGGGGAGCGAACAGG